CUUAUCAUAUUUGCCACUUUUGUUUGAGUGGUUCUUGACCUUACGUGUUUUUGCGGGCGGAUUGUUAUGGCUGCUUGGCAUUUCACAUUGCGCUUCUAAGACAAACUUCCUUUGAGGUAAAACGCACAAACAUUUCGAGCCGAUGUCGACACAUCGUGGUCGUCGUCUUCAAGAACGUCGUCAAUAAUCUAAAAUUAUAAAGCUGUCUUCAAUUUGGUAAUGCUAUAUAGCUUAGUUUUUGAUAAAAGUAAACAAAUAUUGCUAACUAUAACUAUAAUAAUCA